GGGGGAAUGAAGCAUCGCAAGCAGACGGAAUGGCAUGAGCAAGGACAGAAGUAGAAAAGUACAGGGAACAAACAGUGAUCCAAUUUGGCUGGACCAUGGUGUACCACAGGGGGUGGUGGCGCUUGAGAGUAAAGGAGUCAGAAAAGUCAAAGUCCACAGAGGGGUUCAUCAGUCCAAAAUACCAGAUGUGACUUCUAGGGAACUACAGUACCUGAGGAGGUCAGAGGUGAUAGGCCCAGCACAGAGCCCAACACAGGACUUGAACUCAUGACCCUGAGAACAAGACCUGAAAUGAGAUCAAGAGUCAGAUGCUUAAUCGACUGAGCCACCCAGGCGCCACUCCAACUUUUUAAUUUUAGCCAUUCUACAUAUUAUCAGUACUACAGGGGUGUGCUUCUGUCAGGGUGGGGAGCAGAUCAUCUUAAUGCAUCAUGGAGAGAGGUGAUCAGAGCUUAAAUAUAGUUCCUGUGGCAGAUGGUCUAUUUUCACGUCAUUUAUUUGUAAGAUUCAGCCCUUCAGAAUCCCAAAUGAAAGCCUUUCUUCUUGGCAGGCCCUUAAUUCCAAUUAUUUCAUCCCAGCCUCAUGAAAGUGCUAAAAUCUCUGUUCAGCUUCUCAGCCUCUUCAUUGCUCCUUACAAAUCAGCAAAUGCCUCUGCUGGAAAAGUCAUUUGGGACCAUGUCCUAUCUGUCUGUAAGCCAAGUGGAUACAGGGAAAGAUAC